rnacentral:rRNA from 1 species
GAUGAACGCUGGCGGCGUGCCUAAUACAUGCAAGUCGAGCGAACGGACGAGAAGCUUGCUUCUCUGAUGUUAGCGGCGGACGGGUCAGUAACACGUGGAUAACCUACCUAUAAGACUGGGAUAACUUCGGGAAACCGUAGCUAAUACCGGAUAAUAUUUUGAACCGCAUGGUUCAAAAGUGAAAGACGGUCUUGCUGUCACUUAUAGAUGGAUCCGCGCUGCAUUAGCUAGUUGGUAAGGUAACGGCUUACCAAGGCAACGAUGCAUAGCCGACCUGAGAGGGUGAUCGGCCACACUGGAACUGAGACACGGUCCAGACUCCUACGGGAGGCAGCAGUAGGGAAUCUUCCGCAAUGGGCGAAAGCCUGACGGAGCAACGCCGCGUGAGUGAUGAAGGUCUUCGGAUCGUAAAACUCUGUUAUUAGGGAAGAACAUAUGUGUAAGUAACUGUGCACAUCUUGACGGUACCUAAUCAGAAAGCCACGGCUAACUACGUG